UGUAUGUUCAAAUUUAAAUAGUCUUACUGGGAUCCACCACAUUGCUUGUAGAAACUAGCACAGCUGAAUUACACUGCUGCGGCCUCACCAUAAAGCUAAUUGCAAGGAUCGAUCUACAAGCUAUGGCCCAAAAACUGAUUUACUAAAUACAUGUCACAUUUUAAGGACAAGCUCAAACAUAAGCGUUUUGCUGCAGUCAUAAUGCGGAUAAGGGAGCCAAAAACAACAGCUUUAAUAUUUGCAUCCGGUAAAACGAACUUAAAUACCACAGCAGGUGUCUGUGCUCUAAGCACCUAGAUGAUGCGAGUUUAUGGUUCUGCAAGGAAUGAAGAUUGGCAAGUCCAGGAAAUGACAGAAACUGAUGAAAUUUCCCAGUAUUUAUAGCGAAGAGUUCUACCUCGAAUUUCAGCAGGCACUUGUUAUUGGGGUUUUAUAAGUAGGGACUGCAGCAGCUGGAUCUCGUGUCACAUUUCAAUGAUCCAAACCGUUUAUAUGAUGGGCCUCAAAGCAGAUGGGGGCUGCUUGGAUGUCCUGCUCACAUUUGGGGCUUAUUCAACAGCUAGAGGCAUGGUGAUCUCAAGGUUGUUUAUUAGAUUCUUUUGGUUUGGACUCAGUUCAGUAUUUGUAACAUAUAUCUACAUGAAGGUUCUGGAGGAAAAGAUAACCGGAACUCAGAUUCUUUCUAUUUUUGGAUUUAUAUUCUUGUGUUGGGAGUUUAUGCUGGCAUACGCAUAUUUCUUGCUUUGCUACUUAAAUUCCCAGCUUGUCACACCUUGUCAGAGAUGUCUGAUCAGUGGUCAUUCUUUCAAUUUUUUAAGUGGA